UGUGUGUGUGUGUGGCCUUCUCCUCACACCUGCCCACCAGGUGCCCGUGUGUGUGUGUGUGUGUGGCCUUCUCCUCACACCUGCCCACCAGGUGCCCGUGUGUGUGUGCAACGGCCUUCUCCUCACACCUGUCCAUGAGGGAGGGCUGUCACCAUAGGUGGGGAGACCGAGGCAGGAAAUGGCUGCUCGUUGUCCAUGAGCCUAAGAGACCCGGCUCCUGACGGCACCCCAUGGCCACGCCCAGCGCCCCUGCCCUGGCAGGAGAGGACAGUGCAGGGUAGACGGUGGACUCCAGUAGGGAGACAGGAGCACUCGGAAGCGAGCCCACCCACACUCAGGCCACGGAGGAAACCUCAGUGGACAUGGGCUCCCUGGGUCUCAGCCAAGGUGAGGAGAACCAGCCCGGUACCCCUCGCCCCUCCAGUGGGGGCCUCGGACCAGGGCCCAGGGGACUCGAGCGCCCAGGGGCUCCCCCGUUACAGGCCACAGCCCCCCACCCCUGCACACUGGACUUCUGCUUCCUGCUGGGUCACGGUGGGUCACUGUGGUGUGUGUCCAGGCAACAGAAAGACAUUCUCAGCUACACAGUGGCUCAGAAGCUGCCCGAGGGACCGUCCCUUCCUGAGGAGACAACUCAACAUUAACUACCCAGGAAAACAGGAGGUGACUCAAGAUCAGGGCCCAAGAACAGAGCGGCAAGGGGCGGCCGGGGGCCUGGCGAGGGCUGAGGGCAGACCAGUCGCAAGUCAGCGGACUCACAGCAGAGGUCAGCAGAGCCGGACCCCUCUGCUUCUCUAGGACAAGCCCGUGGGGCAGGCCAAGGUCAACCUCGGCACUGAGCUUCAAGCGGUGCUUUCAAGUCAGGAUGUUGAAGUUUGGCAAGAUGGUGUAAGUAAAAAGGAAUCCCCCGGGUCACUUUCUUUCCCAAGGAAAUGGCUGUAUAACCAGACACCAUCAUCUGCAGGGAGGGUGGGGACCCUGCCCGCAGCCCCUCCUACAUGUCACCAGCAAAUGUCAAGCGUGAGAGGCAGCAGGAGCCUGUCUGAGCCCAGGCCAGGAGCAGUGGGCCCACCCAGGGAGACGGGCCAAGGCCAUCUGUGUCCCUCCUUGGCAGCCCCUCCCUUCUCGCCUCCCUUGCCGGCCCCUGGACACCACCCUGGGCCUUCCCACCCGCAGCCACUCGGCCCCCAGGGCUCCGUCUGUGUAGCGCGAAGGCAGUUAGGUCAAGCCCCUGGCAGAGAAGUCUGAAAGCCAGUAUUGAAAAGCUGCCACGGGGCUGGCAGGGGGCCAGGCGCACCCUACCGCGCUUCCCCAGACCCCACCCCUCACUGUGGGCCUCGUGGGCAGGGCCGUUGGCACCCUGAAGCACAUCAGGGAUCCCCACCUCCCAGUUCUGGAGCAGGCUGCCCUGCGCGGGCCUCACCCAAACCUGAGCCAGUGCCUGUGUCCCAACGGGAGCCCAGGUGAUCAGUGGCACUUCUCAGAAACCUGCCGUGGACAUGGCUCGGUGGAAGGGACAACAGGGCACUUGGGAACAGAGUCCUGCGGUCAGUGCUGCACCUCGGUCGUUACAUUCAGGUCAGAGGGACUGGGAAGGUGGGUUAGGGUCCCUCAUGAGCUGACCUUAGAACAAGCAGGGAGGAGGCCUGGACAGGCCUCCCGACACACUGGUGCUUGACAAGCAGUACUUCCUCUGCCGGGUAGAGAAGAGGAGGCCAGAGAUCUCAUGUACCACAGCUGGCUCCUGGAGGGACGGGCCCAGGAGAGGCCCGAGAGUGACCCCCAGCACAGGAGUGCAGGCAGGAAGGGGACCUCCAUCCGGCAUCCACAUUCUGCUGACCACUGAAUGAGUCAAGAGGGGUCCUGAGCACCCAGAGAGAGCAGACUGGUGACAUUUGGGGUCAACCCCUGAUUCCUGAGCAGAGGACCUGGCCAGAAUUCUGACCCCAGGCUGGGAUCCAAGAAAGGGUGCAGUGUCGCCACUUGCUGGUUGAUUUUUCGGGAAGUAAAAGACCGAGGACGUGGAAUCGACUGUUUAACAUUUUACAAUGCACAAGUCAGGGCACUCUCACUAUUGGGCAACCACUGCCCUCUCUAGUUCCAGAACAUUCUCCCCUCCCCAGGGAGACCCAUCGGCAGUCAGUCCACCUCACUUCCACCCUCAGACCGAGACUCCACCACCCACUUUCCUUCUCUGGGCGUUUGCCUUCUGUGCUUUCCGUGUGGGCGGGACUACGGCAUGCCUUGCCCCUCCGUCCACCAGGACGCUGCCCAGGCCCCCUGGAGCAUCAGCGUGACGAUGCCCUCCCUUCAUUUGUCAGUAGACGCUCGGGCCAUUGCUGCCAUCUGUCAGCAGCCUGGUGCGGGCUUUUGCCCGGCCGCCUGUUCCCAUUUCUGUUGUGCGUGCCCAUCCCCAGGAGUGGACGUGCGGCUUGCUGAGGAGCCCCGACCGGUCUCCGCACAGCUGCUGCACUUUGCCUGCCCCUGCAACACGAGAGGCAGCCCUGCUGUCCACGGCGCGAGGCUGUGCAGGAAGGCGGUAGGAGACAAGCUCAGGGGCUGGUCAGGCCUGGGAGGUGGGUAGCGACGGGACCUCCCUCAUCCCAGGCUGCCAGCCUCCGCCCCAGCUCCCUGAGCCCCCAGGUGGAGUCAGAACAGCCCCAAGGGCCAUGGCAAGACCCCAGCACACAGGGGUGACAGGUCUCACUGGCAGACACCAGGAGGACCACACUGUGGCAGCUGGACCAGUGGUGGAGCCCAAGCCCUGCCCGGCUCUGGGCGAGAAGUGCCCGCCAGUGCAGGUCCCCUGAGCCCGUGAAGGUAGCCUUGUUUGGAGCUAGGAGCUGUCAGGUGUGACUAGCUGAGGAUCAGGAGGAGCUCUUCCCAGAGGGGAGCAGACCCCACGCCCAAGCUCUCGUCCUAAGAAAAGGGCUCUCAGGCCACAGGAAAGGAGGCCACGGGCAGAGAACAAGGCUUCCCAGCCAGGAGGGAGGACAGCCUCCAGCCAACCACACCCCUGCGCACCGCACUCACCCAGCAGGGGCCUGGAGGGGCGGGAGGCGGGAAGGAGGGGCCGACUCCAGGACUCAGCCCAGAGAAAGUCUGUGGGUCUCCAGGAACCCCCUCCGGCCCGCUGGCCCCUGGCCUCGCGGCGGCUGUGGGCUCCAGUAAAGCCCCCAGCAGGACUUUCUCCAAGCCAGGGAAACCCCGCUCCGGGGUUUUGGGACUCACUUUCAGGAGCACGUUCUACCGCAGACCUCGGGCAGGGAGGAAGUGAGCUGACCUUUCCCCAGGCCCAAAGGUCUCAGGUCUGGCGUCUGGCAGGAGGAGGAAGAGGCUCUGUCCGGCCAGACCUUGGACAGCAGGGCAGCAGGUCUCUGCCCAGGAUGCGCCCCGGCCUCACGGUGGCCACCCUGCGGCUCUGAGAGUUCUCCUGGGGCAGCAGGAGCGGGCGGCAGGAGUGGGCCUGGGUUGCAGAACUGCCCCCUUUGCUCUGGCCCUGUCAGGAGGCUGUGACCUCCCCAGCACCUGUCACAAGGUCACCUCUGACCUGCUGGGCCCCAUGGAAGUGUCCAGCGGAGGAAGCCUCCCUCCUGGAGUAGGGCCUGCUGACGUGGCCUCUCCUUGCCUGGACUGCACGUGUGCUCACCCGGGCACACACGCGCGCACACACACACACACACACGUGCAUACACACACACACGCAUGGCAAUGUAAACAGGAGGCAGUGAGUCAGCCACAGAAGUCCAGCAGGCAGGAGUCAGGAUCAGAGGCCACUGUUCCCACAGGGAACCAGAUCAGGAUGGCAGGGGGAAGGUUUUGGUUCCUCCUGACCUCUCAAGAAACGGUCUUGUCCUAGAACCUUCUUUCUGCCCAUCUGAGUACUAGAAAUGCCGUGGACCAGUCUGCUCCCCGCCCACCGUCAGUGGCCGUGGCUUCCUUGCUGAAAGGUGCCUUGAACUGGCCUGGCUGUGGCCUCGGCCGGCCGGGCCUCCUCCCUGGUGCUCCAGUUCUGCCCACACCUGUGCAGGUGGCCUUGCUCGGCAGGGUCUGCAGUGGAUCGGGAGAAGCUACUGGCCGGCAGCUAAGGGCUCCAGGAACCUCACUAUCCCUGCCCCCAUGGACCAGGGCUGCAGGUUCAGGUGUGGCCGCCAUAGGGGUAAAGGGAGGAUGCUGGGCACCAGGGCAGGGUCCAGUGUCCACACUGGCAGAUGUGUCUGCCACCCUGGGACCAGGUUCUAAAUGCAGAGUGCAUGGCUUCUGCGAAAACAAACCAAAUAUCUGAUUAAACAGAAAUUUGGAAAGUACAGAACAACACGGAGAAAAAUCUAAAAACCACCAGCCCACUCAGCCUUUAAAAAGAUGUUUCACUUGACAGAACUGAGCACAGCAAGCGACACAACAGAGAUGCUUAAAUGUGCACCCCACCGUGCCCACAGGAGUCUCGAGACGCAGUAACCGCAGUCCACACCUGUUCUGGCCCUGGGGACCACGUGCACACAGAGACAUGGCCAGUGCCAGACGGUGCCCCUGCAGCACCUCCCCACCUGGUCCUGCUGUCCUGCCGUCCCGCCGUGGCCUGUGGAGCAGCUACCCAGACCCAAGACUCACCUCGGGGCAGCGCCCCACACUCCACCCUCACCAGCAGCCAGGAUCCGGGUGCCGUGGGCCAUCCCAGAUUUUGUGGAUCCCAAACCAUGUUAUCAGUGGCCAUUUUUGAAGAGUGCACAAUGAAGAGGUGAGUGUGGGUUACAAAGUGGGCAGGUCCCCAUCUGCUUCCUGAUCCAGAGUCCACGUCCCUUGUGAUGGGAACCAGACCUGAUUAUAAAGUGAAGCUGUAAGAACAUUAGGAUGAAGACCCAGAGCCCGGGGGAGGGUCCGCUUCCCCUGCCCGAUUCAGCCUCUCUUCAGGGAGCCUGAUCCUGGCUGGUAGGAAUGGCGCCUCCGUAACUCUAGUGUCAAUCAUAGGUCACUAGGCCUGUCACCUGGCAGGUGUAACCUGGCGGGCUUAGCUCUCAGGGAGGUGAACUCAAGCCAGCUGGAGUUCCUGCUGCCUGUGGUCACUGCUGCAGGCCUGUCGCCCACCAGGUGACAUGCUGUCCGCUCUGGCCCCCAGCGGGAGAAGCCGGUCUGCAGGGCGAUGCCAUCUCUGGCUCCUGUGACCCACGCAGAAGACCCAGGCGGGCGCCAUCAGCAGAGGAGCCUGGGUGCAGGUCUCCAGGACAGAGGCAGAACCAUUCAGGCCCUCACGGCCAGGCACCCAGCAGGCCCGGCUGCCGGGGAGACCGGGUCAGACCCACCCAGGCAGGCUGGAGGGCACAGAGCCUCCCAGAGCACUCAGGCUACAGGAAAGUCACCUGCCAGGCCCGGUAGCAGCCGAGGCAGCGCUGGCUGACCAAGCUUCCUCAUCUUGUUUGGGAACAAACAUGAGCCUGGAGGGGUCACCUUCCUGAGACCCGACAGAGGCCCAGCCUGCUCCUCUGACUUCCUCCUCCUCAGAGGAAGAAGGACUCUGGAUGUCCCCUGGACGCCCUGCUGCUAGGCUGGGAGGG